UACGUAGGGGGCAAGCGUUGUCCGGAAUCAUUGGGCGUAAAGAGCGUGUAGGUGGCUCGGUAAGUCCGCUGUGAAAGUCCAGGGCUCAACCCUGGAAUGCCGGUGGAUACUGUCGGGCUAGAGUCCGGGAGAGGCAAGUGGAAUUCCUGGUGUAGCGGUGAAAUGCGCAGAUAUCAGGAGGAACACCAACGGCGAAGGCAGCUUGCUGGGACGGUACUGACACUGAGACGCGAAAGCGUGGGGAGCAAACAGG
rnacentral:rRNA from 1 species